CCGCUCCUGCCCUGGUAUAAUGCCCACAGGCUGCUCUCUCUCUCUCUCUGGACUGUUCCUGUCAGCCUCUUGGCAGCAGAGUCUCCGAUACAAAGUAUCUUCUAUCCAGCGCUGGAAGAUCAGUAACCAGGGAGACAGAACUUCCCGCACAGCCUGCGUUCUAAAACUUACUGUGUGCCCUUCUCUCUGCCCUGAGCGCUCCCUCACUGCAAAUCUGGAGCAGAGCUCCCUGGCUGCUGGUUGCUCCCUUGGCAAGUAACAGACUGGACUCCUGACCACUUUAAAAGUGCUGCUUGUGUCAGCACUGUGACAGCUUUCUGUAGCUUGACAGAUCUCUGCCACCCAGCUAUACAGAGGGGUAUUAUCUGCACCCACUGCCCCCCUCCUCUACCGCUACGGACCUACUACUAACCCCGGCAGGAGAUGCAAAGCACAGGCUGCUGUUAACUUCAACGAGGCCCCAAAUCCCGGGAACCAGGCGGGUCCUACCGGGUGGCGUCCCCUCCACCCCCCCUUUCACCCCGGAUUGUCGCCAAGUAACUCCCCGGGGCGGGGGCAGUCAAUCCGAGGCGGAGGAUCAGAGUUGUAAAUGAGAGCAGAACAUCAUAGAUGACAAGAAGUAUAGAGGCAGCAUAGGAUAAUGGGGUGUAAAGUGUGAGGUAGUGGGG